CUCCCCAGGGGUCGGUCACCAGCCCAGCAUCGAGGCCCGGUUCUCCACAGGCUGCAGGGAGGCAAGGGCUUUGCAGGCCCUGCUCAUUUGGCCAAAUACUGCUCCAGAUGCGCUCUCCAACCCAAAUUAUACAGAGUGGCUCAAAUAUUCCUAGGCUCUUCAGCAGGAGCAUCUGGGACAAGCUGGCUUGGGGAGAAGCAGAUCCCUGCCCAGGAAAGUUGAGGUACUUUUCAAGCUCCAUGGUUCCAGGAAAUAUCCCAGGCAACUAG
rnacentral:lncRNA from 1 species